rnacentral:misc_RNA from 1 species
GAAGAAUGAAGCACCCGCCCGCAUUAUUCCAAUUGUAGCAUUGAAUCCCUAUCAGGGUCGGUGGGCUAUUAAGGCUAGAGUGACUGCAAAGGGGGAUUUACGCCGCUAUAAUAAUUCUAGAGGAGAUGGCAAGGUCUUCUUCUUUGAUCUUCUUGACUCUGAUGGGGGUGAAAUACGUGUGACUUGUUUUAAUGCUGUUGUUGAUCGCUUUUAUGACAAAAUUGAAGCUGGAAAAGUAUACAUGAUAUCAAAAGGCAGCUUAAAACCUGCUCAGAAGAAC